GCUUCUGUCCAUUGGUUGAGUUCCCAAAUGGCUGCAACAGCCAGAUUUGGGCCAGGCUGAAGCCAGGAGCCUGGCACUCCAUACAGGUCUCCAUGUGAAUGGCAGGGGCCCAGGUACUGGAGCCAUCAUCUGCGGCUUUCCCAGGCACCUGAGCAAGGGGCUGGCCUGGAAGUGGAAUUGCUGGGUCUAGAACCUGCGCUCAUACGAGAUGCCAGCAGCAUCACAGGCAGUGGGUUAACCCCUGCAUGACAGUGCCAGCCCCAGAUAAAUACAUUUUAAAAUAAUUACAAUUAUGUUGAGAAAAUUCUGGAGCCAGAGUGCCUCGAUUCUGAUCUUGGCUUUGCUAUGUGACCUUGAAGAAAGUGAGUCACAGAGUAACUAACUGACUCACUUUCUUCAUUUGUAAAAUGCUCAAUAAAUGCAUUUUGAAAUUGAAAGAAGGGUAGUAAUCCUACUAAUAUGGUUAUCAGGAUCAUUAAAUGACUCCAUAUUUUAUAAAAUGAUUAGAAAAUUGCCUGACAUCCAGUAAGUGGCUGUAGAUGCACUUGUCAAAAUGAAAUCAAAAGAGAAGUCACUUUUGGGGGCUUGGGUGUGCACCUCAGGUCCCAUCUUUGAGACACUUGUGAUAUUUAAGCAGAAGUUAAUCCUUUCACUACCAAGACUCAUGGAGCAUGAAGCUCCCCCAUACGCCUGUCUGAAAGCAGCCACAGGGGUGGUUUCCUUUUGACAGAAAAGGCCCUGUAGAGAAUGUGGGCUUGCAGAGAAGGAGGGGCUGUGACUACCAACUCGUGUCACCAAGUGACCCACCAAAAUACCCAAACUUGCCCAUGCAAAUGGGCCUGGGUCUCUCCUGGCAGUCUCUAUAGAAGCUACUAGAAUGUGUUUGAGCUCCAUUUUGAGAGGGUCUUUGCAGCCAGCCAGCGACUUCUGAAUCUUCCCACAUCUUUCUUGCCAAGGGGUGAGGGUGGGAAGAAAGGGGUGAACGCCUGCAUCUCUACCCUUUAUGUUCAGUUAGGUACACAGUCCCCAGCCAGUGUGUGCGGGAGCUGGUAUGGCCUGCGUCUCCCUCACCUUCCACUCCCCAAAUUGCCAACUUCUGUAGAUGUAGUACUUGAAUUUGGACAAUGGUGAAAUCUUUGGAAAUGCAUCUUGUUCAUGGAGUUAAAGGAUCAGAUGGCCAGUGUGCAUUCCGUCUUUCCUUUACCAGCAAUGACAAAAGGGCCUACAUGAUUACAGGAGCCCCCUAACCAGUCUUCCUUUCUCUACCCCACUCUUCACUCUCUCUCAGCAGCCAGGGGCAUCUGUUAAACUGCAAACCAGAUCACAGGACUCCUCUGCCCCAAGUCCUCACUCCUGUGGAGUCCCAACUCACUGAGGAUAAACUCCCAUGAGCCUACUAUGUCCUACAAGGCCUACCCUUGCAGGCACUUUCUUCCUUGUUCGCCCCUUCUUGCUGUGGGCUAUACGUACCUGAGUAGAAGCUGGCCUCGGGACUUUACCCAUACUGCCCUUUUUGGGAGCACUCUUUCCCCUGUAUACCUACCUGGCUCAUUUCCUCACUACAGGCUAGCGUCUACUCAGAUAUCAGCUCCCAGAGAGGCCUUCUCUACCCCGCCCCCCCAAACUCAUUCCAUUCCCCUGAUUUCUGUCAUUAUCCAUAGUACUGUUGAGUUGCUGAUACUAUUGCAGUUUUGCACUCUUUAAUGGGUUGUAGGCCUAGUUAAGAAAGAGAUAUUGUUUUAUUCAUUAGGGUAUCUACAGCAACCAGAACAUUCUGUUAUGGGUGCUCACUAAGUAUUUAAACAAUGCCAUUUUGAGUUAGGAAUAGGGUAUGUCUGACAAAGCUCUAUACCUGAUGUUUCUUGUGCACCUGCUAAGUUUGCCCUGAAACCACUUCUGGAAUUCUCCAGGUAAUUUCUGAAUGAGAGUAACCCUGGAGAAGUAUUUAAUGUCCCAAAAUGAAGAGAUGGAAAACCAACCUGCAUUUGAUGUGAUGAGUCCUCCUACAUGUGUUUAAAAAUCCUCCCCAUAACAUUAACUCCACCCUGUCCCUUUGCUCCUGGGAACAGACAAGCAAUCCCAAAUACAAGGUCUUUGCAUCCCUCAGACCUGGAUUUCUCUCUGUGCUACUGUGAGAAUAAAAUGGCUGUUCCCUGCUGUUCUUCCUAUUGAAGCAUGGAUCUGCUUUCCCCUUGCCUGGCUUUCCUGGGAUGCAUGUUCUGAGGGAAGCACUGAGACCAUCAGGCUAUCGAGGCUGCUGCUGGGUGCUGUGGUCUGCAGCCUCCGCUAGCUGACAGCUGUCUGGUGCCAUCACGAAUGGUUGAUGCUCCUUUCUUCUAUGAGAUGACCAUGGCCCAGCUGAUAGCUGACCACAAGGGCAUAAGAAGAACCAAGUGAGAACCACUGAGCCAAGCCUCUCCUAAAAAUCAUGAAUGACUUGAAAUGAUGACUGGUUUAUAAGUCUUUUUUUAAAAAAUAUUUUAUUUAUUUAUUUGAGAAGUAGAGUUAGAGAGGGAGAGACAGGGAUCUUCCGUCCACUGGUUCACUCCCCAAAUGGCCACAAUGGCAGAAACUCGGCUAAUCCGAAGCCAGGAGCCAGGAGCUUCUUCCAAAUCUCCCAUGCAGCUGCAGGGACCCAAAUACUUGGGCCAUUUUCUUUCUUUCUUUCUUUCUUUCUUUCUUUCUUUCUUUCUUUCUUUCUUUCUUUCUUUCUUUCUUUCUCUCUCUCUCUCUCUCUCUCUCUCUCUCUCUCUCUCUCUCUUUCUUUCUUUCUUUCUUUCUUUCUUUCUUUACAGGCAGAGUGGACAGUGAGAGAGAGAGACAGAGAGAAAGGUCUUCCUUUUUGCCAUUGGUUCACCCUCCAAUGGGCGCUGCGGCCGGCACACUGCGGCCGGCACAUCGCGCUGAUCCGAAGCCAGGAGCCAGGUGCUUCUCCUGGUCUCCCAUGUGGGUGCAGGGCCCAAGCACUUGGGCCAUCCUCCACUGCACUCCCGGGCCAUAGCAGAGAGCUGGCCUGGAAGAGGGGCAACCGGGACAGAAUCCGGCACCCCAACCGGGACUAGAACCCGGUGUGCUGGCGCCGCGAGGUGGAGGAUUAGCCUGUUGAGCCACGGCGCCGGCCUGGGCCAUUUUCUACUGCUUUUCCAGAUCAUAACAGAGAGCUGGAUUGGAAGAGGAGCAACUGGGACCCAAACUGACCCCUAUUUGGGAUUCUGGCGCUGCAGGCAGAGGCUUAGCCUACUGUGCCACAGAGUCGGCCCUUGGUUUAUAAGUGUUAAAUUGUGUGAUAAUAUGUACUGAGCAAUAGUAAUGAGAGCCACACCCUAACUCUUUCUCCUACAUACUAGGAAAUCUGAAGCAAAAAUUUCUUAACACUACAGGCAUUGCAUUUUAUCAUGUGCCAGUCAGGAGUGGUACUUAGAUGAUUGUUGGGUAGAGCAAGUGCAAGUUUGAAAACCUGGUGUGGUCCCCAGACAUACUGCUUGUCCUCAUCACUAAGGUAUACCAGUUGUCUGGUCUCCAUUCAUUUGUGUGCACUGAGAAAGAAAUGCCUGUAAUUACACUACUGCAUUCUCCUGGCUGUAACACACGUACCUGUUGUGGAGAUGUUGAAAUUGGAGGGGCCAGCGCUGUGGUGCAGUGGGUUAAUACCCUGACCUGAAACACCGGCAUCUCAUAUGGGUGCCAGUUCAAGACCUAGUUGCUCCACUUCUAAUCCAGUUCUCUGCUAUGGCCUGGGAUAGUGGUAGAAGAUGGCCCAAGUCCUUGAGCCCCUGCACCUACGUGGGAGACCCGGAAGACGCACCUGGCUCCUGGUUUCGGAUCAGCACAGCUCUGGCAGUUGUGGCCAAUUGGGGAGUGAACCAUCAGAUGGAAGACUGACCUCUCUCUCUCUCUUUCUCUCUCUCUCUCUCUCUGCCUCUCCUCUCUCUGUAUAACUCUGACUUUCAAAUAAAUAAAUAAAUAAAUCUUUUUUAAAAAAUUGGAAAAGAGAUAUAUGUUAGGAUCUUGGAUUUGAAGAAUAGAUGAUAAAAAUACCCACUUAAGCCCAGACACAAAACCAGGAUUUCAGUUUGUGUAGACAAGAAGAGAACUUAAAGCAAAUGUGCCUCAAUAUUAAAAACUUUCUGGCUUUUUGUCUCAUUUUACACAAGAAAACACAAAGAUCAGAGGAAACAUCAUUGUGGUCUGGGUAGAGAGUGCUUUCUUUGGGCGCCUGUCAGAUGGUUAGGAUUCAAAUGACAUUGCAUCACUGUUAUUUAGCAGAAAUGUAUUUUGCAAGAGGGAUGAAGUCAGAUCCCUAAAUCUGGCUGUGCUUUGAGUUGUUUUUAGCAGGAACUCCACUCUGGUAAGUAGUAGAGGACCAAGUCCUAUUUCUCUUUGGUUCUUGAAACUUUCCUUUUUCAGGACAUGAAUUUGUUCCUUGACAGAUGCCAUUGAGUGCAUAGAAAGGGUCUGGGCGGUGGGCAGCAGGACGCAGAGGAGACCUAGGACAUGUCCAGUGGGACACAGACAUAAGCCUCAGACUCCUGGCAGGUUUGCUGCUAAGUCUUAAAUUUUAAAAAAAAUUUAAAUAAUUAAAACAAUUUAUUUUUAAGGAAUACAAAUUUCAUAAGUAUAGCUUUGGGAAUAUAGUUAUUCUUCCCACCACACCUUCCCUCUCACCCACACUCCCACCCCUCCACCUCCUCCCUCUCCCCUGGCCAGUCCCAUUCUCCAUUAAGAUUCAAAAAAAAUUUUUUUUUUUAAUUUGAAAGGCAGAGUUAGAGAGAGAGAGAGAGAGAGAGAGAGAUCUUCCAUCUGCUGGUUCACUUCCCAAAUGGCCACAAUGGCCAGGGAUGGCCCAGACUGAAGCCAGGAGUUUCAUCCGAGUUUCCCGCAUGGGUGGUAGGGGCCCAAGCACCUGGGCUGUCCUCCGCUGCUUUCCCAGGUGCAUUAGCAAGGAGCUGGAUCAGAAGUGGAGCAGUUGGACUCCCAUUGGUAUUCCCAUAUGGGAUGCCCAUGUCUCAGGCAGCGGCUUAACCUACUAUGCCACAGAGCCAGCCCUGCUACUAAGUCUUUACAUGGAGGGCUCCAGGGGGUCAGCACAGCCACCCAAUCUGUGGCUGUGGCACAGGUGGCAAAGGUGGGCUCCCUCCUGAAACUGCGAGGCUGCGUCUCCUAGGUCACACAGCUCGAUGAUGGCCGCUUCGUGGAGCAGACACCACCAGAGCCUGUGCUCUGUCCCCAGUGCUGUGCUCACCAUAGUGUUUGCACAGCCCUGGAAAUGAUUUCAUAGGAGACUGGCAGCUCAGGGCUCUUACCACAACCACUGACUAGUCAGCCUAGCAUAAACAGAGAAUUCCUGUUAAUUCCUCCUGCCUCUGCCAACACGGCUUAUCCACCAAGGAGGCCCUUCUCCUCUCCACUUUUAACCUUAAAGACCCAGACAUGCUUCCAGGCCCUGUUCUUAUAGAGUGAUUCCCGGGUGCCUUUGGCUACCUGCAGCAGUUUAGCUGACCCUCCUGGAGUUGUUGUUGGUGGUGGUGGUAGCUGUUGGUCCUUCCUAUUCACUGGGAAGGGUCUUGAGGUGCCGGCACUAGACGGAGUGUGAAUCCAGCCUCUAUGAAUUACAACUUGUGUCCUUGGGGGAAUUUCUUAGUUUGCCUGGUAAAUGCUAGGGAUAAUUAUUCUGAGUGAGGCACUUGCUCGGUCUCUCAUUCAUCAUCACCUGCAGUCUUCAUAGCAGCCCUCUGAGUUAGGUUCAUUUACUUACCCAUUUUAUAGAUGAGGAAACUGAGAGGCAGCCUGUUGCCUGUGGUCCUACAGCUUGCAUGUGACCAAACAUCAGACUUUUUUUUUUAAAGAUUUAUUUAUUUAUUUGAAACUCGGAGUUACACAGAGAGAGGAGAGGCAGAGAGAGAGGUCCUCCGUCUGAUGGUUCACUCCCCAGAUGGCCACAACAGCUGGAGCUGCGCUGAUCCGAAGUUAGGAGCUGUGCCGAUCUGAAGCUAGGAGCCAGGAGCUUCCUCCGGGUCUCCCAGGUGGGUGCAGGGGCCCAAGCACUUGGGCCAUCUUCUACUGCUUUCCCAGGCCAUAGCAGAGAGCUGGGUUGGAAGAGGAGCAGCCGGGACUAGAACUGGCGUCUAUAUGGGCUGCCUACGCUUCAGGCCAGGGCGUUAACCUGCUGCACCACAGCGCCAGCCCCCAAGCAUCUGACUUUUAAUUCCCUUGUCUGAUGGAGUCAGGGGAUGUUAUGUACCAGCUUCUUCAGGUUUGUUUUAGUUAAAGUCUUAGUGCCCCCUCUUUCCUGUCUAGGCUGUGCUAUCCCAAUUUGUGGGGAAAAGAUGCUUCCAAAAGCCUUGUUUCACUACUGUUGUGAUUUGUACAUCUCAUAUGUCUGCCAAUAACAGGUUCCUUCACUUUCCUGCUCUUAUGGGUGGCUGAUUAUCAAUACCAGAACUAUCCUUUUAUGUAAUAAGCCGAAAGAAUCAGAGUAUUGGUCUUAAGAAACCCAAGCAAACACUUACACAAGGGUCAGUUCCUCAAUCUGAACGCCGUCAGGGCCAUGGCUGCCAUUGGCGUGGGAUGACUGGGCACUGGGAUUUCUUUCUGGGUUACUCCAAUUCUGCUGUCACGGGAACCUUGUAGCAGGGCAGGCAGAAGGAAUCAGCUGUUCAUGCACUCCUUUGUUUUUUCCUAAAGACACAAUUGUUAAGUUCCUUGAACAGAACUAGUGUGGAGUUUUGUUUUUGUUUUUGUUUUUUGGGCAGAGAUCAUUCUGAGUUGGCAGAACAGGAGCCAUCACCAAACGAGCCUCACUCCACCCUGGGGACCCCCAGCAGUGGAAGCACAGAGAGUGGGGUGAGACCCUAUUCUGACCGCAAGACAGGGAUCUUCCUGUCUCAGAUGGAUCUGGAGAGAGCCAAGGGCUAAGAGUAGUUCCAAAGUGAAUGCUCUCCUGGCUUGCUAUGCAAAAGGGCAGUGAGUGGCGGGCUCAGGACUUGCAGCUUGUCCUUGGACUGUGGUUGACCUUCACCUUCAGAGCCAGAGGAAGUUAUUGGGGCAGGGGUUGAAGGCUGGAGCUACCAUUAUUAAAGGCAAACACUGAGCAAGAUUCCUCAUUUCCACAUCCUGGGGUUUCCUCUACAGAUGGAUCCACUGUUGCUAACUUCCACUCCUCGUCCACCGUCCUCAGGGAAGUUGCCAUGUACGAGUUCCGCUCUUUGACUGUGAUUGCGAUUUAUUUUCUGGCCCAGCCUCUGGUCUGUUGUGGGGAAUGUUGCACAAUCACUUGAAAAGAAUGUGUCUUCCCCAGUUUGGGGAGGGGGAUGUCCCAUCAGCAUCCAUGUGCAGGGCCCAGUACUUGGCCUGGUAGAGUCACUGUUGAAGCAAAGCCUCCCCUUUCAUUUAUUGUCGUGAUCCCCAAAUACGCCUGCAAGCGGAAGGCAGUUUGGUGGCUGUGUAGACCAGCAGUUUCUGGAUGGAGCCUACUGUUCCCCUCCGUGGUGCGUCCAAGGAGAGCAGGAAAACAUCCACGUGGGCGAGAAGGCACAGCCAGGCCCUGACCCCAGCUGGCAGCGACUUGUCCUCCAUGUGGCCCCCAAAAAAGGAAAGACCAAGAACUCCAAGCAGACCACUGAGGCCAAGAGAAGGUCUCUGGGGCUUUACCUGAGGGAGGGAGAUGUUCACCCAUGGGAACGAGGAAGGAAGCUCUGUGUGGUCAGAUGCUUUCUCUCCUCUCCCUGCAUUCAGCCAACACUUACCAGAGCCCUGCUGUCAUGGCCCUCAGUGCUGCCACUCCAGGAGCCCAUAGACUCAAGGUUUAUAGGCAACGAAAAUUUAGUUCUCAUGCUUCAGUGGCUUGGGAAGUGCAAGGUCAAGGCAGAUUGAGGAUCUGGUAAAGGCCGAACUUCUGCUUCAUAGGCGGUGACUUCUUGCUAUGUUCUCACAGGGCAGAGCUGCAGAGGAGCGCUUUGGGUCCUCUUUCAUAGGAGACUGAUCCCAUUCAAAAGGGCUGCACCUUCAGGACUUAGUCACCUGCCAAGGGCCUCACCUCCUAAUAGCAUUACACGACUUUGAGGGGGACACAAAUGUUCUUCCUGGUUGCAGUUCCAAACACCAGAAUUCAAGGGUUCUACAUUGCCCCUGCUCUCCAAGAGCUUGUAGGUCACAGAGAGAGUACUGAUAAUCAAACAUGACAUUGUCCAUAGCACAGGGGAUGGUAGUCAGUGGAACACUAGAAGAGGGUCGUGCUUGCUUUGUUUCCCCACUCUUUCUCCGAUGCUCACAUCUGCUGAGCAUUUCUAGGGAGGCUGAAAGGGGGAGACAAUGUGGUCCAAUCUGUCAGCCUGUUAGAAACCUUUGGAAGAUGUGGUCCUAAAGGGCCAGGAAAAUGCGAGUUCUUAGGGGUCUGGUCCUCAGGACAAGAGAGUUUACGCAAGUUUAUAAAAUGCCAUUGACCUUUCUGGCAAGCUGGAUGCCUUUUUAGAAUAAUCCUUUCAAUGUGGAUAUAAUAAAAGUACUCAGGAUUGCAAAGGAAACCAAUUACAUGGAAACACAGUUCUACACGUGAGCCCCAUGCCCCAGGCUAGGGGAGACAGAGACCUGGAGGAUUAUGGGUGGUGGAGAGAGCUCCAUGGGGGAAAUGUCUUUCCUGCAUUUUUUUUUUUUUUGGACAGGCAGAGUGGACAGUGAGAGAGAGAGAGACAGAGAGAGAGAGGUCUUCCUUUUGCCGUUGGUUCACCCUCCAAUGGCCACCGCGGCCAGCACAUCACGCUGAUCCGAAGCCAGGAGCCAGGUACUUAUCCUGGUCUCCCAUGGGGUGCAGGGCCCAAGCACUUGGGCCAUCCUCCACUGCACACCCGGGCCACAGCAGAGAGCUGGCCUGGAAGAGGGGCAACCGGGACAGAAUCCGGCGCCCCGGCCAAGACUAGUUUCCUGCAUUUUGUAAUUCCAUAUUUUUGGAAUUGGUGACCUCAAAGGGGGCCUGGCUGCAGGUCUUGCUUUCACAUAGCUGAAGUAACUCUAUAAAAGACUGCCUUUGGGGGCCGGUGCUGUGGCUUAGUGGGGAAAGCUGCUGCCUGCGGUGCCAGCAUCCCAUAUGGGCACUGGUUCAAGUCCUGGCUGCUCCUCUUCCAAUCCAGUUUCUUCUAUGGCUUGGGAAAGCAGUAGAAGAUGGCCCAAGUGCUUGGACUCCUGCACCUGUGUGGGAGACCUAAAGAAGCUCCUGGCUCCUGGCUUCAGAUUGGUUCAGCUCCAGCUGUUGCUGCUAUCAAGGGAGUGAACCAGCGGAUUGAAGAUCUCUCUCUCUCUGUUCCUCUGUUUCUCUGUAACUCUGCCUUAAAAACAAAAACAAAAACAAAAACAAAAACAAAAACAAAAAACUGCCUUUGACUGCUCUGGUGAGCUUAUGGCUUGUUUCUUUGCUCAGCAGACCAUAUUGUAUGCCCCGACUUCCAGAGAUAUGAAGGCACUUCACAAAAUUCAUGACAGAGUUAAAGGAUGUUGACUUUGGUACAAAAUCUUUUUGAAAACCAUGCAUAGUAUUUUCAUUGUGCAUUUUUUCAUGAGCUUUUAUGAAGACCCCACUUAUGCAUGGAUUUCAAAAAAAUAUUUGCACCAUAAUAAAUUUAACUUUAAAUUCCAUUUUCCAGGAACGUUUUGAGGCAGCUUUGUAGAAGCAUUGGCAUGGUUGAAUUGUCUGCCUUUUUAAUUUCACUUGUUCUCCCUAUGGAGCAUGAUGAAUUGCAAUUGAAAGGGAAAAGGGGUUAAAGAGUAGGGAGGGUAGAGAAAGGCCUCGGCUGGAUCAUCAGUGUGUUUCUUCAGAAGCCUGGCGAGGAGCUGGGGUCCCUUGGCAGGCUGGGAACCCUUCUUGGGAGUUCACAAAACGGAGAUUGCGACCCAGGAGGAUGGGUGACUUUUCAUGGGAGCUGAGGAGAAGCCCAUGUCUUACUUUGCAAGGUGGCAGAGACUGUGAGCCCUGAGAUGUCAGACACGGCUAUCAAAGAACUGCCGGCCACCACUUUGUCCACCCUGGGCUCAUUACCGCCCUAGAAGCUGGAGGUCUGAUUUUACCCAUGUGACAAUGGAUACAGAGCUAGUCAGUCCAAGGUCACCUGCUGGAAGUGGUGGAGCUGAGAGCCACACAAUCCCAGGCCCUGAGAGCUUUGUGUUUUUCCAGGUGCCUACCUGCAGCAUGGUGAUCAUGGAUGUGGCUUGUGGAGCCAGGUGGCCUUGGUUCCAGUUCCAGCUCCACAAUUGAAAAGCUCGAUGAUCCAAGGUGCUGUGGGCAGUUACAAAUCGGAAGCCGUUUGGUUAUGAGAUCAUCAAGGAUCUCCGUGACAUGUUGUCCCUUUCUUUGAGGGUCAGUCUUCCAGAGGACAGAGUUACAGGCACCCAGGCCCUUAAGCCCCAACCAGACGAUUGCCCCAGGAAUGAGUGAAGAUGGAGGGGUUCAGCAAGGCCCCCCUGCCACCCCAGACUCACACAUGUAGAUUCUGGCCCCAGUCUCGUAAGCACUCUGUCGAUGUUUGUUGGGAGGAUGAUUGGGUCAUCCCGUCUGAACGGGAUGCGGCCACCGUUGCCAGAGGCUCUGCUCUCUCCUGCUUCUCCAGCUGUCCCCCGACUCAGGCUCUAGUCGAGCUUUGUUUCCUCUGCCAUUCCCUGUCCUGGCUCUUUGUCAUUGAGUCUACCAUAGUGCUUCCCACUGCAAUUCCAGGCUAGCCCUGCCUCCCUCACCUCCCACCCUGGCCCUCCAAUAAGCAGUUGGAUUGUGGAGGUGUGGUCUUGGGGACAGGCUGGAGUGCUGCACAAACAGCUAGCUCCUACCCCCGAGUCUCAGGUUCUCUGUCAUGCCGGGGCUCUGGCUAGUGCCUUCCCAUCUCUAGGAGGGGAAGGCCUGGGUUAAAGUGUCACAAAGAACAGUGCCAGGGGCUUUGGAAAUGGAGGGAGGGGUGCUUGACUACAAGGCAGAUCAGGUGGGCAGUGCCUCCGUGAGCAACAGACUUUGUGCAGGGGCACAGAAGGGAGGCACAGAAGCCUGCCUUGGGGAACAGGAUGCUUCUCCUAUCACACUAUCCCCUCCCCACCUCAUCAUUAGGUCUACAGCUAAGCUGUCCUUGCAGGGGCAGCCCCUCUCUCCUGGGGUGGGCAUCAGUGCACACGGAGUGAAGACAGAUGCCCUGUUCCUGCUAGGUGACCUUGAGCAGAUGGGUUCCAGGCCACCCAUUCUCCUGCCCCUGCAAGGGACUCCAUUGCCUCUGGCCAUCCUGAGCACCUGGCCUCGGCUGCUGGCAGCGCCCCGGACAGAGCCCUGACAGUCCUCACCUUCCUGCCGUGGGGCAGGGCCCAGAGCAUCUGCGAAGGGCUGCACUCACCCUCCUCACAUGGCUGAACCCGAGAGAGCGCAACCAUAGACAGCCAGUGAAGAACCACCAUGCCACGUCAAGACGGAGGUCUCGGGCCUCAGGAAAAAUCCCCUUUCCCUCUCUCUGAACAAGCAUUUCACCAUGCACAGGACCGUGCAGUUUACAGGGGGGCUUCACAAAGUUCAUGGAUGGUGCAUAUGCAUGACAAAACUAUGUAGAUUUCAAAAUCAAAUUCACAACAAAAUAAUUGUCAUCUAAUUCCAAUUUUCCAUGGAGUCCCCCCCUCCACACACACACCAGAACCCUUUAUUUAAGGAAUACAGACUUCAUGAAUUUCAUAAAUACAGCUUUAGGAACAUAGUGAUAGUGAUUCUUCUCACCGUACCCACCCUCCCACCCCAACUCCCACCCUUCUUCCUCCUCCCUCUCCUAUUCCCAUUCUUAUUUUUUACUAAGGACUAUUUUCAAUUACCUUCAUACACAGAAGAUUAUACUAAGAGUUCAACAAAUAGUAUGAAAAAAAAAAAACCCAACUGUUCCUCAACAGUUUUUUGAUUUUCCUUUUGAUGUCUUCCAUGACCCACUGUUCAUUCAGGAGCAUGCUGUUCAGUCUCCAGGUGUUUGAACAUGUUCUAGAGAUUUCUGAGUUGUUAAUUUCCAGCUUCAUUCCACUAUGGUCAAGAAGAUGCACGGUAUGAUAUUUUUUUUAAUUUGCUGAAACUUGCUUUAUGGUCUAGUAUGGUCUAUCCUAGAGAAAGUUUCAUGCAUUGGUGAGAAUAUGUGUACUCUGCAACCGUAAUAUGGAAAGUUCUGUAGAUAUCUGUUAGGUCCAUUUGGUCUGUAGUGUCAGUUAACUCUGUUGUUUCCUUGUUGAUUGUCUGGUUGAUCUGUCCAUUUCUGGAAGUGGGUGUUGAAGUCCCUCAUUACUAUUAUAUGGGAGUCUGUGUCUCCCUUUAUAUCCCUUAGCAUUUCUUUAAAUUGCCAGGUGCUCUGUAAUUAGGAGCACAUACAUUUGUUAUAGUCACAUCUUUCUGUUGAAUUGUUCCCUAAAUCAUUGCAUAGUGCCCUUCUUUGUCUCUUUUAACAGUUUUUGUGUUAGUCUAUUUUGUCUGAUAUUAGGAUGACUACGCCAGAUCUUUUUUGGUUUCUGUUAGCAUGGAAUGUCUUUUUCCAACCUUUCACUUUCAGUCUCCAUGUAUCUUUGUUGGCGAGAUGUGUUUCUUGUAGACAGCAAAUAGUUUUUUUUUUUUUUUUUUCAUUCAGGCAGUCUGUAUCUUUUAACUGGAGAGUUGAGACUGUUUACAUUCAAGGUGACUAUUGAUAAGCAACUUCUUAGCCCUGCUAUUUUCCCAUAAAUAUUGCUAUUUUUUGCUUUCAAUUUCCUUUUUACUUGUUCUGGAGAUUUUCUGCCUUUCUGUUCUUUCAUAGCGAUGAGUAUGUUUCUGUGUGUAGCACAUCCUUAACCAUCUUUUGUAAGGCUGGACAGGUGGUGACAGAUUCUUUCAACUUCUAUUUGUUAUGGAAGGUCUUUAUUUCACCUUCAUUUGUAAAUGAGAUCUUUGCAGGGUACAGUAUUCUGGACUGACAGCUUUUUUUUCUCUUAAGACUUGGAAUAUAUCCUUUGGAGAAUAUCUUAGAAUAUUCUCUCCUAGCCUGAAGGAUUUCUGAUGAGAAGUCAGCUGUGAGUCUGAUUGGAGAUCCUCUGAAUAUAAUCUGACAUUUUUCUCAUGCACAUGUUAGAAUCUUUUCUUUAUGUUUUACUGUGGCGAGGUUGACUGCAGUUUGUCAUGGUGAAGAUCUUUUCUGGUCAUGUCUAUUAGGAAUUCUAUGUGCUUCCUGUUCUUGGACGUCCCUUUCUUUCUCCAAAUUAGGGAAGUUUUCUUUAAUUAUUUCACUAAAAAUUAUUCCUUUUCUCUUUCUACACCUUCAGGAACUCCUGAGAUCUGUAUCCUAGGUCAUUUGUUGAUAUCCCAGAGGUCUCCAACACUGUUUUUUAGUUUUCUAAUUUCUUCUUCUUUUUUUUUUUAUCUGACUGUAAACUUUCCAGAGGUUUGUCUUCUAACUCAGUUAUUCUUUCUUCUGCCUCACUGGUUUUGUUGUUAGGGAUUUCCGUCACAUUUUUUAUUUGUUCUAUUGAAUUCUUCAUUUCCAAUAUUUCAUCUUAAUUUCUCUUUAAAAUCUCAAUUUCAUGAGAAAAAUUUUCAUUCAUGUCAAUUUCUUGAAUUCCAUUUCUGGCAUUUCUUUAGCUUCUUCAUUUUCAAAUUCUAGUAUUGAAGUGUUGUUGUGUUCCUUUGGGGGCAUCGUGUUGUCUUCCUUAUUCUUGUUUCUUGAAGUGAUGUGUUUAUUUUCAGGCAUUUGUGGAGUUACCUGUGGGCAUUUUUUUUUUCCGUGUGAUAACUUAUCUUUGGACUGUGACUCUGUGGCUUAGUGGAGUAUCUGCUCUUUCAGUGAAUACCCUGAAGUAUGUGCUGGGUGUGGCACUGCUGCAGUCUGGUCUCAUCUCUCCAAAGCUGGUGCUGAGGCUCUCUGUGGCUGGGUGCCUGAGUUGUGCAUGUCUGCAUCCUCCAAGUAGAUCCACAGUGUCCCUCUAAUUUGCAUAGAAUUUCCUCUGCUGUUUUCUCCCUGACUCUCCCCUGAGAUUGCACUCUCUCCAUUUUUAUUUUAACUCUCUUCCCCUAGCAGUAAGCUCCCUCCCUGUUCUGCCAUCUUAGUGCCUCGCCAGUACAACUCUUGUUUGAAAGAAAGAACUUGACUGGGGCUGACAUUGUUGGAAUGUGUGUUUAACCACCACUGGUGAUGCUCACAUCCCAUCUUGAGUUUUUGAAGUCCUGUCCUAUGUAGCCAAACUCUCUUGCAGGUUUAGUUGUUUAGUGCAUUUUGUUCAAUUUUGAGUCACAGAUGGUGACAAAGCCUUUUGACGAAGGCUAGAAAGGUGGCACUUUGCCACUUCCUACAAUGAGGUCAUCUCCCAAAUAUCCUAAGGUCUCGCUAAGAUUUGCAACCAAAAUGUGGACCGCAACCAUAGCCUUGUUUGCUGUGGGGGAAUCUCGUUUUUUCCUUCUUCUGUGGCUGGAUGCUAAGACACAGCGAGUUGUCUUUAAAAUACGCUGUGGGCUAUCACUUUUGCAAAUGCGGACAUCUCCGCAUGGCCGGCAAGUGCUGGAGCCAGGCUGCGGUCUGUAAGAGGGACCAUCAGGCCAGCAGGAGGCCGGGAGAGGUCUCAGCAGCUCCCCACUGAGAGCAGACUUUGCACAGCCUGAGGAAUGGAAGAUCCCAGCCUGGCAGCGCAGAACCACAGAGAGGGAAGUGGGAGGAGGCCUCACUGGCUCUGUGCCAUGGGAAAUAGAGGAAGCUCCCCACCAAGAGCAGGGGGAAGCAGCAGGUGGAAGUCGGUCCCACAAACCACACACAUCCGAGUCUGUGAGGAGCCUCAGCACAAAGGGAAUGGACCAUGGGCUCUGCUCGGAGCCAUGUUUUCUGCUUCCAUGCAGACCACAGCACAUGGUGAGGAUGGAACAUUCCAGAAGGGCUGAAGACUGAAGGAGAAGUCUGCUGGGGAAGGCCAAAUAGGAAAACGGUGGCCUGACAUUGGACAGGAAGGUGGGGGACAGUUUGGCCCCAGCCUCAUUCUUGAGUCUUGGAGACUGUCCUAUCUUCUGGAGCCCGCUAGCUUCCUGUCCACAGCUGCUGGGGCACUUUGACACCCUGAGAUGCAGCAGGCUGCACUGUGGAACCACAGAGGCUCCCUCGCUUCUUUGUGGUUUGUAAGUCCCAAUGUCAGUGCUGCCCCAGAAUCGCCCUCCCGACCUGCCGCUCCUCCCAGAUCUGUGUCUGUUUUUCCAUUUCCAGCAGAAGAGCAGGGGCGGGUGCAGCAGUCUGGGGCUGUGUUUCCCUUUUUUCAGGUGAGUUUUGCCACUUCUUGGAGAGGCGCCUGACUGGUGAGAGUGGGGAUCAGUGCUCUGUACUCUCGCAUCCAUCGGAGCCACUUCUUACUUACUUGUUUCUGCCGUUUUCUAAUAGCUGCUGACAUUUACUGAGUUUUAACAGCUCGGUCUCUCACUCUGCCCUCUUCAUACACUCUCCCUGUUAGCUCUUUGCUGUUUUUCUGGGAUAUCAUUUGCACACAAGGAAUUAUAAAGAGGGAGGGCAGCACUGUGGCGCACUGUGCUAAGCCAGAUGGGCAACACCAGUGUCCCAUAUUGGAGCACUAGUUCAAGAACCAGCUGCUCUGCUUCUGAUCUAGCUCCCUGCUAAUGCACCUGGGAGGGCAGCCAAGGAUGGCCCAAGUACUUGGGCCCCUGAGAUCAAUGUGACAGAGCCAGAUGAAAUUCUAGGUUCCUGAAUUCAGCCUGGAGCAGUGGAGGCCAUUUGGGGAGUGAACCAGCAGAUAGAACAUUUUCUCUCUCUCUCUCUCUCUCUCUCUCUCUCUCUCUCUUUCAUAUAAAUAAAUAAGUGUUCAUAGAAAAUGCAGAGAUCUUAAGUACAGAAGUAGGUGAGUUUCACAAAUACAUCCUACCCAUGUCCCAUCACCCCAGAGACAGGACGCCAAGACAUCUCCAUCACCCCGGAGAGUUUGCCUUCCCUCCUACCUGCCCUCACACAAAGGCAUCCACCACAGUUACUGCUUUCUUUCAUCUGUUGUCUCCAUUCUAGAACUUCUUGGAGCUGGGAUAAUUUUUGUUCGUUAUGUCUGGCUUUCUUCACUGGGCCUGGUGACUAGAGGUUCUCACAGGCCGUUGUGCAUCUCAGAGGCCCUUCUUGGUUGCUGUUCUGUAUUCCACUGUCAGACACCUGCACUCCUUUUUGUUGUUGUUGUUUAAGACUUAUGUAUUAAUUUGAAAGACAGAGUUACAAAGAGAGGUAGAGACAGAGAGAGAGGUUUUCCAUCCACUGGUUCACUCCCCAGAUGUCCGUAUCGGCUGGAGCUGUGCUGAUCCGAAGCCAGGAGUCAGGAGCUUCUUCCAGGUCUCCCACAUGGGUUCAAGGACCCAAGGACUUGAGCCAUCUUCUACUGCUUUCCCAGGCCAUAGCCAAUAUCAGAAGUGGAGCAGCUGGGACUUGAACUGGCACACAUAUGGGAUGCCAGCCCUGAAGGCGGCAGCUUUACUCGCUACACCACAGCGUCCACACCUCACCUGCACUCUAUCCUUCUGUCUCCUGGCGGACGUUUGGGUUGUCCUCAGUCUGUGGUGAGGAUGAGUAAGGCUGCUGUGAGCUUUUAUGAACCAGACUUUUUAUGGAUAUGUGGUUGUGGGAAGUACCUAGAAGUGGAGCUGUUAGGUCCUAUGCUGAGUGUCUUUUUUAGCUGUAUAACUGCCAAGCAGUUCUCCCAAGUGGUGCAUAUAUCAAUUUUUACUCCCAGCAGGAGCGCAGGAGAGUUCCACAGCCUCGUCAGCACUUGGUACCGACAGUCUUUUUGAUUUUGGCCAUUCUAGUGGGUGUGAAGUAGUAUUUAAUUUUGGUUGUAAUUUGCAUUUUCUGAUGACUCCUGGCAUUGAGGACUUUUUCAUGUGAUUUCUGUUGUGAAGUGUCUGUUCAAGUCUUUUCCACUCUUGGUGGGAUGGUAAUUUGCCUUUUGUUAUCUUUUAAGACUUAUUUAUUUGAAAGGCAGACAACAGAGAGAGGAAAGACAAACAGACACACACACCCACACCCACACCCACACAGGUACCUUCCAUCUGCUGGUUCAUUACCCAUAGGGUCAUACCAGCCACAUCUGGGCCACGGUGCAGUCAGGAGCCAGAAGCCAUAUCUUAGUUUCCCACAUGGAUCGCAGGGGCCCAAGUACUUGGGCCAUCACCCACUAUGCUAGGCUCAUUAGAACGAGCCAGGCUCAUUAGAAUGAAGCUGCAUUGGAAGUGGAGCAUCCAGAUCUAGAACAAACACUGCAGUAUGGGAUACUGGCGUCACAGGCGGUGGCUUAACACAUUGGACCACAUCACUGGUCCCUGUCUUUUAUUAUGGAGUUGGAAGAGUUCUUUACAUAUUGUGGGUACAGGUUCCUUGUCAAACAUAUGUGCUACAAAAAUUUUCUUCCAAUCUGUACCUGUACUACCCUUUUAAAUUCCCCAGCAAUACUGUGCAGUAGAUAUUAUUAUCCCCAGCUUAUCUCAUAAAAGACAAAACCAAAGCACAGUUGUUUACGCAAAAUGCCCAUAGUCGGGGCUGGCGCCGUGGUGCAGCAGGUAAAGUCACUGCCUGUGGUGCCAACAUGCCAUAUGGGUGCCUGUUCAAGUCCUGGCUGCUCUACUUCCGAUCCAGUGCCCUGCUAACGGCCUGGGAAAGCAGCAGAGGAUGGCCCAAGUGCUUGGGCCUCCUGCAUCCAUGUGGGAGACCUGGAAGAAGCUCCUGGCUCCUGGCUUCAGCUCUGCACAGCUGCAGUGGUUGCGACCAUUUGGAGAGUGAACUGGUGAAUAGAAGAUCUCUCUCUCUCUCUCUCUCUCUCUCUCUCUCUCUCUCUCUCUCUGUAACUCUGCCUUUGAAAUAAAGGAAAUGCCCCUGGUCACACAGCUCCCCAGUGGCAGGAGUGGGAUGUAGCCCCCUUUGCUUUGUUAGAGCAUGGACAUCCAGAAAAAUCCCAGAAAGCGUCUUUCUGUGCACAAAACCUCCUACAUCUCUGGCGGCCUGAAGGCGUGUGGUCCUCAAGGCAGUGCCCGGCUGGGUUAUUUCAGUUCACACUCGCUGCCUGUGUCUCGCACAUACCAGACCAUCCUGGGAAGUCGCCGGCUCCCAGACCUGGUUGGGAGCACGCUCUUCUCCGGAGGAUGCCAUGUGGCUUGGAGCUGCUCUGAGCAAAGACAAACUGCGGGCAUUUUGACAGGGCUCUGAGGAUGCUGGCGGGAUCACCUCGUGCCAGGAAUAACAAUGAGGGGCCCAGGCUUGCUCACUGCCAGCGCUGCUCUGGGAGGCAUCACUAAAGGACAGGAGCCAGGAUGGGGGGAGGUGCAGUGGCGGGGGUGCUGUGCAGGGAUGCGUUGUCCACAGCUGGCUCAAAGAAGGGCUGUUAGGUGCCCCCAGGGACUUCCCCUCCCUCUCUCCUCUCUGAGCAGGAGUUGGGGCCCCCAUGACAGUCACAGCAAAGGGCUGUGAGGUAAUGGGGGAGCAGAAAUAAUGUGAGUGGAAUAAAAAGCCUUUCUGGGUAGCCACAGCGUGCCAGGUGAUGCCCAUGCUUGGUGGCCCGAGUAGGUGCCAGACACAGUGUAGGUGACUUUGCACUUAUUAGCUCAGUCCUCCUAAUACCCUCUACGAGAUAGGUGUUAUUAAAAUGUCCACUGGAGCACCACUCUCUGAGGUUCAGAGAGCUCAAGUGAUUUGCCUAACGUCACAUCGUUUGUAAGUGGUUGAGGUUUGAAUAGGGUUUAGCUAAUUCUAAAACCUGCUGCUUAACUGUUAUGCACUGCUGCCUUUCUAUUCAAAACCUUGAGCCAGAUUCCUACUUUGUGCCAUGCACUGCAAGACGGGCAUUGGACAGGGGAAUAUAGUCUUGAAUAAGAUCUGUCCCUGUCUUGGUGGCCACCAAAAGAAAUGUCCACAUCCUACAACCUGUCCAUCGGACCUCAGUUGGAAAAAAGGAUGUCUGCAGGUGUGAUUAAGGAUCUUGGGCUGAGGUCACCCUGGAUGGCCUGGGAAGCCCUACCCUGGUGACAAUGCCCUCUGGAUAAAUGUCCUUCUAAGAGACAGAAGAGGAAAGACAGCAAGAAAAGAGGGUCCGGUGAAGAGGAGGCUGUGAUUGAAGUUGUGCAUCCACACACAGGCCAGGGAAAGCUUGGAGCCCCUGCAGGCUGGAAGAGGCAGAUGGUUCUUCCCUGGAACUUCCAGAGGGAGCCUGUUCUGUUUAUUAGCAGUGACGUCACAGUCCAGCACACACUCGAGAGGAAGGGAUUACACAAGUGCUUGAAUCCUUAGGGACAGCAACCACUGAAGUCAUUGUAGCCGUUGCCUACUAACACAGUGCCAGGAGACCUGAACCUCACCAAGGCAUCCGACCCCUGGCUGCAAGAAGGGAAUUAACAUGUAUUAAGAACUAACAUUUACUGUGUAUCAGCUGCCAGGCCAGAUUGUUUGUACGCCUUCCAUCAUGCAGUAUCACCUAACCCUCCUGUGACCUUUGCAAAGGGAGAGAACUAGGGGUCAAGAGUGUAGCAACCUCCUAGUAGCUUAUCCUAGUCAGCCAAAUUUUCUCAGCUGAUGGCUGUUUCAUAAUCACUUGUAAAUCACUUUUGGUGUUUGUGCAUAGUUUCUGAUUCAGUAGUUUUAGGGUCAAGCUUAAGAAUUCCCAUUUCAGGAGCUGGUGCUGUGGCUCACUUGGCUAAUCCUCCUCCUGCAGCGUUGGCAUCCCAUAAGGGUGCUGGGUUCUCGUCCCAGUUGCUCCUUUUUCAGUCCAGCUUUCAGCUGUGGCCCGGGAGGGCAGUGGAGGAUGGCCCAAGUCCUUGGGCCCUGUACCUGCAUGGGAAACCAGGAGUGGGCACCUGGCUCCUGGCUUCAGAUCGGUGUGGCGCACCAGCCGUAGCAGCCAUCUAGGGGGUGAACCAAUGGAAGGAAGACCUUUUUCUCUGUCUCUCUCACUAUCUAACUGUGCUUAUAAAAAAAAAAAAAAAAGAAUUCCCAUUUCAAACAAAUUCCAAAAAAUUCCAGGAGAGGGUGGCAGUUCUGGAUUGAGCACCAAGCAUUUGAACCAAGGGAGACUCAAUGAUGCAACAGGAAAGAACCCCUAAAGUUUGAAGUUUCCAUUUUUAAUAGACACAUCAAAUGUGUUGAUCAGGUUGCCAUCCUUUCAGGUUGGAUGGUCCUCCUUACUACAGCCCUACUAUUUGGAGCGUCUGGUCUCCCAAAGUCCCCACAAUAGGGAAAAGAGAAGUCAGAGGGGUGUGCUGGGAAGACUUUCUUCUUCCGGGAGAAGAAACUCAGUCUCAUGACCCCAGACUAACAGCAAAGGAGGCUGAGCCAUGGAGCCUUCCCGGGAGAAAGACGUGGUAUGAUGGGCACACACUGGAAUUUGAGUUCAGGUGGGACUUUGUCUGGUCUAGGUGUUUUCAGUGAGUUUUUUCAUUCUAGCCAGGGUUAAAGAAAUGUGUGUGUGUGUGUGUGUGUGUGUGGAACUGAGAAAGGAGAAGAGGAAAGAGAUAUUUCUUAAGUUCUUCAGCUCCUUCUCCUGCCAGCAGCCUCAGCCCUCUUAGGGGUACCGGUACUCAGCUUAGCAGCUGCAGCACUUUGGAGGUUCCCAGUGUAUGUGCAGAGGAUUCUUGCACAGUUUGCACCCUCAACAUCUGAUACAUUGCUGGACCCCAUGUCCAGUAUUUGAGGAGCCGUCAGGCUCUGGACUCCAAGCCACAGAUAAGCUCUGAGCAGAAAAUAGGUUCUUCCUGCCGCUCCUGUCCUGCUUCUCAGGCUGCUGCACACCCAGGGGCCUUGCACAUCUGUGGUUUCCAGCUUUCAUGCUUUGGCAUAUGCUGUGACAUCUGCCUGAAUUCCUUCUCUUCCCUCCAGAGACUACACACAAAUGACACCAGCUCCGUGAAGCCUUCAUCAAUCAGUCAAAUAAAUAUUCAUCUUACCCUUAUUCUGGUUCAGAGCAUAGACAUGCCUCCUGUCACAGGCCUGUGUAGACUCAUGCUGUCUCUCCUUAUAGACUGAGAGGACUUCAAGAACAAGACUGUGUGGCACCCUUUCCUGGCCGCCUCACUGCCUGCAAGGUUGAGUUCAGAGUCUUCUUGAGACCUGCAACCUUCCCCACUCCCCAAGACCCAGAGGUGAUGCGGGCACUCUGGGGCGUUAGUUUGAAUCCCAUGUCUGCCACUUGUGGAAUGUAUGACUUUGGACAAAUUGUUAGCUGAUUAUGCCACAGUUUUCUUGUUUGUAAAGUGGGGUCAUCAUGCUGUGCAAAUUUGAUGAAAUAAUAAAUGUAAAGCCCUUCAGGGGGCUGGAUCUGUAGUGUAGUGGGUAAAACUGUCUUCCAUGGUGCUGGCAUCCCAUAUAGAUGCGAGUUUAAGUCCUAGCUACUCCACUACCGAUCCCAGCUCCCUACUAAUGCACCUGGGAGAGCAGUGGAGGAUGAUCCAAAUGCUUGGGCCCUUGCAUCCACAUGAGAAAAGCUCCUGGCUUAAGCCUGGCCUGGCCCAGCUUUAGUCAUUGUGGACAUUUGGGGAGUGAACCAGUGGAUGGAAGACCUCUCUCUCUCUCUUUGUCUCUCUGUGUGUGUAACUCAGCCUUUCAAAUAAAUAAAAACCUUCAAACGGCACCAGCUACAUGGCAAAUACUCAAGAAAUGCCAGCUACUCUUCUGUUAUCAUUCCCUUUUUAUUGCCUUGUUACUAUAACACACACCUGCUGUACCAACUUACUUGCUUGCUUACUGUUGUGGUGGCCUCAUAUGCCCCUUUGUGUCUGCAUUAGAUGAGCCAUCUGCUGACAGGUUCCUGUCUCACCUGUUCACUCACUCACUCUGAUUCAUUCAUUCAUUCCGCCAAGUCUUUGCUGAGCUCACUCCCGUUCUUGGUGUAGACUCAUCUCAGCCACCCCUUCCAGUCCCUUCCCACUGGGUUGACCACUGUGGUUUUGAAGCUAUGUUUAUUUUUCUGUAACUCUAAGAACAACUUGAGAGCACAAAAUACAUCCCCUUCCCCUGGAUUUAUUGCUCAGAACUCAGUUUCUAUUAACUGGACUGACACAUAGUGGGGGCUUCAUGAACAUUUGUUGAAUGAAUACAUGAAUGCCGCUUACUUCUGCGUUGUAUUCGGUCACGCUGGACUCCUGUUUUCCUUGCACAAAAUCAAAUAUUUCUGGAUUCAUAUUCUUCACAGGGCCUGGGUUCAGGAGGGUUACUUUCAAUCAGCAUUUCUGGAUUUUACCACCUUCUGAGCCAGAACUCUUUGCCUGGUCCAGCUUGACCAAACGUAAGAUGAUGGGAAGGGCUCCUCUCUGAAUAAUGCAGGAGGAUGUUGUGUUCCUUGGUCUAACUGUAGGGUCACCAAAGGCCUCUCAACACUUCCCACAUUUGCUGGUCCUCUAGAGAGUGUCUGUCACAUCAUCUUCACCCCAGUGCCUUCGUGAAUGCCUGCUACCAAGGAUGGAGGAGGAGGGUGCUUUCCUACACUGGCUGACAUCCUCGAUAUGAAGAUCUGGAAUCUGAUGUUUGACCCACGGUCUAAUGGUGCGGAUGGUAACAUUCGGCCAAAACAGUCUCCCCGGCUCUUCUUUCAUGCAUUUGUCUCCUCUCUUUGGCAGCCAAGGUCUGGUUUUUAUUUGCAAGCUGGCUCUAUAAUUCACCUUCCUCCUCUCUAUCGCACCUCCUUCAGUGAUUGCCGGUGGCUGAUUCCUGAGGCUGGCAGGAAUGGGAGCGUCGCUCUCCUAGGGGCUGACUUUCCUGCAGAGGGGGUGCCGUUGUGGGGCUGCAGAAGGGCGGGGUCUGGGUUCCAUCUCGUGUGACCUCCUUAGGGGACCCUCUGGGCCACUGUCUAUUGAUGUCACUGAGGAACUGCAAGCGAUUUUACUGACUUCUUUGUUUUCAAUACUAUUUUUAGAAGAUUUUUGAGAUAUUAUCCUAGUUUUUAUCCUUCUUGUCAACUGUCAUGCUUAAAGCCAUGUGUGUUCUAUGUGUAUCUACUUUUCUUCCUCCUGUGAGGCAGAAAUAACCCCAGUUGAAACUUUAAUAUGUGACAGAGGCGUUCCUUGAUAUUUUCACACCUGUCGUCUCACUUAUUCUUUACAAUCAUCCUACUAGGUAGGGAUUAUUAGUUCUGUGUUACAAGCAAGGAGAUUGCAGCUUAGGGGUUUUGAUUUCACAGAGCUAGUGAGCAUCUUUUCGUUACUUAGAGACUAUGUCUGCCUCUUUAACUUCUAGGUUCCUUUUCAGCUUAUUUUGCCAUUUGAUUUCUUCUGUAUUGCACAUUGCAUGCCCUGUACCGCUGUGCUUGUAUUUCAUGGUCUCUUAUAAUAAAUGCUUCUGAGUGUGGGCUCUAACGCUAAUUUGUUUGUAGUUAUUAUUUCCCUGAAGGAAAAAUUGUCCAUUUAUGUUACUCUCCUUUUAUCCUGGCAGACCCUUAGGAGCUGAUUCUCAGUGGCUCUUUGGGAGCAGAUGUAACAGAGAAAUCAAUACAGCCGUUAGAUUCAUCCAUGGCAACCCUAAUGUCAUUGCGUCUCCUGCCCUGUAGUGUUGACAGAGACGGCAGAACCAGGAGGAGGGGAGAUGCUUAAAAGAUGAGACAGGAGUCUGUAAAGUGAAGGGGAGAAUUAAAACCCCACGGGGCCUCACUUAGUGCACAAGAAAUUGUAGGCUCUUGCCAAUAGCAUAAUCAGGUCUUCUCGCAGAGAGUGAAUGGCCUGAUGUCAGGCCUGGACGAGGGGAAGGUCUACAACACCCAGGCAUCCUGGGCCCUUCAGAAAAAUCCCAUCAGCAGCUGUGGGGAGCAGCAGCCUGAGCUGGGACUUUACCUCUCUCCUCUAGGAGCCAGGUGCUCAGCUCUUCUAGAAAGGAAGUGAGGGAGGGCAGAUCCCAUGUGAUUUCUGUCUUGCAGAGGACCUCAGCGUGUAUCAUGUCACUGUCAUUAUCACUAUUACUAUUUCCUCCACAGGGGAGAGGACGUGCUGUUUAAGGCAGUAGUUGGUCCAUGGAAAGCACUCAAGAUGUGUUUGAACAGUCAGUGCUGGCCUCCUUGAUAGAACACACGCAGUUAACAAUGGUUUGUUGAGCAUCUCCUAGAUGUCAGGUCCUGCUGUAGGGAUGGGGCAUCACGAUGCGUGCAUUCAGGGAACUCCUUUUCCAGUAGGCACUGGGAGUUCAGCUAAGCGAAUAGCUUGAGUUUUUUUUUUUCCCUGCUUUAGACAUGGCUCCCAGAAUCUCUUCUCUUCCUUUGUGCAGAUCAGUGAUUCUCAUCCAGGGCAUGGUUUGAGCACUCUCCAAGUCUCCUAAAAGAUGUGUGGAUAUGUUUUUCAUUGUCUAAACUUGCUCUUGUUGGGAGGACAAGGGUGUGUGUGUGUGUGUGUGUGUGUGUGUAUGGUAGAGGCCAGGGAUGCCAUCAGAUAUCAUACAGAACAGAACAGCCCAGCAACAAAGAAUUUUGCAGUGGGUAAUGCCAGUAAUACAGAGGGAGAGAAACCCUGGUGGAUACAGCAGAGACUGCUUGGUCAGGGACUACAUUUCCCAGCAACCCUUGCUUCUUGAUGUAGCAUGUAAGUAGACCUUACCACCAAAAAGUGAACAGGAGUGCUGUGCCCAGGUCCAGGAGUAGGGCUUUAGGAAGUGGAGGUGGCUUUUGUCUUUCCUUGAAGAGAGCAAGGUUUCAGGUAACAGUGGAGUGACCUGGGGCUCUAAGUCACCAUACGGAAGGAAGCUGUCUACCAAACAGAGACACUCCUCUUCAACUCUCAUCUGAAUAUGAACUAAGACUCUGUUGUGUUUUAGCUGUGGUGCAUUUUGGAAUCUCCAGGAAACAGUAAUUUAACCCACCCUAACUACUGCCAACACUAAGUCCUGUCAAUAGUUCUUCAAAAUAAGGAAAGCUAACAAGUAUUGGGCACACACUUUGAGCCAGACAUUGAGCUCUCUUUUAUCUCCAUACCAAUGCUCUGCAAUAGAUCCUAUUAUUAUCUCUGUUUUACUGACGAAGAAACAAAUGCUCAAUGUUAGCAGGGCAGAUGAGUAUCGUGUGCCAGUUCUAGUCCAGAUUCCAGACUCAGUUGCGGGACAAGUUCCUCUCGCCAGCAUUAGUAUCACUUCCUCUGGGCACUGUGCUCUCCCUGCAGGGUCGCUGUAACCUUUCCCUCUUCCAAACACUCCGGAUUGAAUGGCUUUCUGAAAACGAAAUCUGGGUGUGCUUCUGUCCUGCCUGUUUUCAUUCAGUGUUUCCCACUGCCCUCAGAGCAGAGGUUCCUAGCAGGUCUGAAACAUCCUGGGAUCUACCCCCAGCUCACCCUGCCCCCUUCACCUCCUGUUCCUUUUCCCUUUCACCACACAUCCCAGGAGGCUAAUGCACACUCAACAGCAGCACAAAAAGAAAGGAUCAUUAUUAUUUUUUCAUAAUUGUUCUUGUACCACAGAGGGACCAUUACAGUAUAAGCUAUCUUUUUGGAUUUCUAAGAGUUCCAGAAAAGGUGGUUUGACCAUCUCCUAGGAACUGUGGAAGAGAUUGUUAGAUUUGGUGGGGGGUUCGUUCUAACCAGAUAUUGCUACAGUUCUUCACAACACACAGUUGCAUGAUGUAAAGUGAGUCCAGUUUUUCAAUGUAGUUCAGCUCUCAAUUCUGUUUAUUUUAUUUAAGACUAUAUGAGCUUUGGAAAGUUAUUUGGCAUUGUCACACGACAGCAGCUUUGCUCCUAAUUAUACUCCCUAGAGAACGCUCAUGUGCAAAGGAGAGAUGUGGUAUUUGUAAUAGAAAAACAGCCCAAGCAAAUGUCCAUGCGCAGGAGAAUAAGCACUAAAUGCACACAGAGAGUCUUACAGAGGAGUACAUCUAUAUGAACCAUGGCACAUGUGGGAAAUAUGGAUGACUCUCAGAAUCCUGAUGCUAAGCACAACAAGCAGUCUGAAGGAGGAUAGUAUAGUAUGAUACCACAAAUAAUGUGCCAGUUGGAGCCCAGUAGGAAGCGGACAGCACAAUCAGAUGGAAUUCUAAAGAGACAGAAAAGAAGGGGUCAUUUAUAAGGCUGGCAGGGGUGGCUGGUUAUUUGAUGGCCACAUAUUCCUCCCAGCCCAUUGUGCAUUCCCCCUUUGCUGCUCCUUCCCUCCAAAUGUGGAAUCAAUUUUUCCAAUUCCUUUUAAUCUGUGCUGGGUUUGUGACUUGUUUUACUUGGGGGUGAAUUCCAGAGGCCUUUCAAAUUCUGUCCUUACCCUCUUGUAAUGUUUCUGACAUCAUGCAAAGAUGAUGUGUUAGCCUGCUAGAGGCCUUUUGGAGAAGAGAAAGACCCAACAACCAUCAGCCAGCACUACUCGGGGUGAUGUUAAUAGCCGGUAACUGUACAAAUGAGCCAAUCAACACCACGUUAAGCAGAACUGCCUAGCUGAGCCCAGCUGAAAUCACCAAUCUGCAGAACUGUGAACAGACCUUGAGGUGGUUGGUUAGGAGUACACAGUCAACAUACAAGAGUUAAGGGGCCAACAAGACGUUCUGAGGCCUCCAGGAACUAGCAGGAUGUGAAUUACCUGAAGGAGUAAGUACAGCCACAAAGGACGGGCUCUCAGGCAGGCCCCAGAACCACAGAUCUUCAGAGCCAUGGAAGCGGUGGAGCGGGGGAAGAAAGCCAGAGUGGGAGAGAUGUCUUCUGUUGGGGUCUGGCUUCUUGGGUACAGAAACGGAUCUGGGUAGGUGUAGAGGGCAAGCAGAGAGCAACCAGAACAUAUGAGCUCUUCAGAAAGUUCUAGUGUGUAUUAUGGAAAACUGUGCACGGAUUUCAAAAUUCUUUGCACCAAAAUAAACUCACACCUCUUAAUUCCAUUUCCCUCCAGACUGUUUGGAGUACAUGAGUGUGUUGUCCCUGAGCAGCAGGAACAAGGGUGUUUAAGGGAAUGAGAAACCUUCAAGGAGGACGGAAGUUGCCUCUGGGAAGGAAGGUUUUCUGGCAGCAGCCCUGCGACGAGUCUUGCUGGAAAUGGACCCUGCAGCCCCAGUGCAGCCCUCAGCACCAUGGCUGCAGCCAAUACCCUGCUACCUCGUGAGAGACCUAAGCAAGCCACUCUCACGCUCCUGAAUCAUCAAAACAAUGCCUAUUGUUUUAAUCCACCCAUUUUAGAGUAAUUUAUUAUGUAGCAAUAGACACUAAAGAGAGUAGUUCCUGAGGCCGACAUCGUGGAUUCCUGAUCCAGUUGGGAAGGCAGCAGAAGAUGGCCAAGUGCGUGGGCUGCUGCUUCACGGGAUUGGAAGUUGAGCAGUCAGCACACAAACCUGUCCUCAUGUGAUGCCACGGUUGCCGGCAUCACAGGGAGUGGUCUAACCAGCUGCACCACAACCCCAGCCCACGGGGCUAUUAGUAAGUAAAACAAGGAAUGCAAGCACUGUGUGCUCUAUUGGUCAUUCUGAUAACCAAGACGGCUACUAAGCGACUACCUUGUGGGUAACAAAUACACUGUGGAUACAUUGAACGUAGGGGAAACUCAGGAUGGAGCAGGACAAUAUGGCGUGAAAUCUACUUAGAAUGACAUGCAAUUAAACUUAUGAAUUAAAUAUUCUGGAAUUUUCCAUUUAACAUAUUUUUUUUGGAUCACAGUUCAUCUCAAGCAACUGAAACUGUAGAAAGUGACCUCAAAGAUAAGCUAGAUGAGCUGUGUAGCAGCAGAAGUGGGGAGGGAGGGAAACGAGUGUUAAUCAGGCUUGCCUGGCACCUGACCCUAUGCCAAGUUCUUUUGCAGAAGUCAUUUGUAUAAUUUAAGUCCUUGCAACCUCACCAUGAGAGCCUGGGCAAAUCUCCUUUCACACCCAGAGGAGAGGGCCAGAGCUUAAGUGGUUUCCCAGGCCCUGUUACUUGGACAGGGGCUGUUGCGUUUCAGACUCAAUCUGUCCACCUCCAGCAUCUGGGCCUGGAUAAAAGACCUUUUCUGGGACCAUGGCAGGCAGAUACGUUUUCCCAAACCUCUGUGUUCAUUGGUCCCUCCCUCCCUCGGUGUCUCCCUCCUUCCUAUUCCUUACAGUUGAAGUUGAGGGAAAAGGCGCCAAUGCUCUCUGCAACAUGUUGGCCUAAAAGGCAUGUUGAAGUACAGCAGCGUGAGUGAGGCAGGUCUUUUCUUUAAUAGCCCCCUCCCCCACCCCAGCACCUGGCAUAGGGGGCAGCCACAGGGCUCUGGUGAGUGAUAGGAGUGUUUUUCCAAAUACAGCUGUCAAAGCCAGGGCAAUCAUCCUGCCUCCUGCUUGGAAAGUGAUUUACAAUUUUCCUCUUUGGUGGCAUCCCAAGGCAAACAGGCACCUUUGUUUCCAUGGAGAACACACUCUUCCCUGUAAGGUUGCUUGGUUGCCCUUCCUCCCUGCCAUCUUUCCUUCUUCCUCCCUGUUUUCCUUGUUUGACAAUUCUCUCUCUCCUUCUCUCUCUCUCCCUCUCUCUCUCUCCUUUAUUUCCCCUCAGUUUUUCUUGAGUUCUCCUCCUUCCACUACAUCUCUGUCCCAAGGCCAAGCUUCUACUUCUCCUGCCCUGCUGGAAGUGUUCUCAGACUCCUCUGAGCACUGAGAAAUGUCCUCUUGGCCUUUGGGCUGUUUCUUGUUUCUCAAAGAGCUCAGAGCAGGGGUGAGAGCCCGCUCGGUUGCUUCAAUCUGGGUCCUAAGGCUGUGCAUCUGUGCAACCUUAGGCACCUCGUUUCACCUCUCACUUUCUUCACCUGCAAAAUGACAACAACCCUCCCAGGAGCUGCCCCAGAUAGUACGGGGCAGGGUUGUGGGGGGGAGUGUACAAAUAGAUUGCUUCCUGUGAGUCUACAACAUGUCUCUGCCUUCUAGGCCUGAAGUGUAUGGAGCAGCUCCUAAAAGCCUCCAAAAGGCAUAAGGGGAUCCCCUGUUGUUGAGGCCGGUGCUAGCAGGCCCUGUGUAGGCUGGGCCAGGUGGAGGGGGUGCGGCCCCUCUGGGGCCACUUUGUACCAAACUUGUGGGGCUUCAGAAGUGCCAGUGACCACUGAGAGCAGCGUCUGGGUGCUUCGAACAAAUAGGAAGUUGCGGCUCCUUUAAGAGACCACAUUUGCUCCCUGUGAGUGCGUGUGUGCUAUUGCCCAUGGGUGGGUGAGCGGGCAGCUUGAGCAGCCCCUUAGUGUGCUGUGUCAGGACACAGGCUCCAGCUGCGGAACAGGGAUCUCUGACACCGGGUCAGAACAUUAAGGUGUUCAGCUCUGCGUGGAUGAGGCUGGGCAGCUCAGUACCCUAAACGCAGCGCCCUGUGCUCACACAGCUAGCCUGGGGUGAGGCCUCUGCCUUGGAGUAGAUCUGUGUCUUUGUGGCUUUUGUCUGCUCUAAGCCGGGAUUGGGUGUCAGGCACCCAAGUUCAGGCUUUCCUGUAUUUCGAAGGUUUUGGUCCUACUUCCAGGUGUGUUCGUCACAGGUAAACACACGUACAUGCACCACACAGGGAAGGGGGGAUGAUGGAGGAGGCCUUGGAAGAACAGCUAGGGAGUGGGACGGAGUCCUUUUCUCUCUCCUGGCAGAAGUCCUCUAGUUCCUCAUGCAAUGGGACUGGGCUGCGGGUUGCUCUCAGAGCGCUGUACAAGAAAGACACAGUUAGCGGAACGACAAGCCGGGCAGCUCAAGCAAGGAAGAGAAGCUGAGCCUCCUCCUUCCUCCUUUAUUUGCCCAUUUAGUUCCUCGUAGGGAGAAGGCAGGAGCAUGAGGAAGGCGAUGAACGGUGGCUGAUCACCGCCUGUACUUCAAUUGGCUUCAAAUCUUAUCUCCCAUAGUCCUCACCAACGGCUCUUUAGUAGGCUGGUUACUGAGACUCAGGUUAACAAAUUUGCCCAAGCAGAGAGCAAGAUUUUGAACUGCAACUGUAUAGUUCAAUUCCUAACUCUGUGCUCUUUCCAGCAAACCCCAUUGCCUACAUGAGUCUUCUACAGAGAAUAUAGCAUUGUGGCCAAUGGGCUUCUUGUCAAGGAUCAUAAACUUGGAAUUCAAUCUAAAGUCACUAUUAUUCCAGGAAAAAAAAAAAGAAAAAGAAAAACCCUGAUGCCUGGCUCUUUUGAAAAAAAAAAAAAAAUCGCAUGCCUUCCUAAGAUGGGCUAUUAAUAUACAUUGUCAUUGACAUCAGUCUUGCAGGCUGGUUCUUUGGGAGAGCCAGGAUGUUGCUGAUUUGCAUACUGCUUUGCAUUCAUUUGCAUUCUCUCUCCAUAUGCAAAAUCAAACACAGUUAAUUAGUGCAACCUUGUUACAAUGAGAAGCAGGCCCAGCCUUCUGUGCCAGGGCAGAUGGAGCCCAGAACAGGGACUGAAACAACCCAAAGCCAGUCACGUCCUGGGUUGGACACGCCGGGAGGCUUGAGAGAGACACACACAGCCUGAAUGGAAAGCAGCAUAACGAAGUCUCGCUAUUUUUCAAAUAUUGUCCCUUUGAA